rnacentral:rRNA from 1 species
UCGACGGCAGCGCGGGGCAACCUGGCGGCGAGUGGCGAACGGGUGAGUAAUAUAUCGGAACGUACCCUGGAGUGGGGGAUAACGUAGCGAAAGUUACGCUAAUACCGCAUACGAUCUAAGGAUGAAAGUGGGGGAUCGCAAGACCUCAUGCUCCUGGAGCGGCCGAUAUCUGAUUAGCUAGUUGGCGGGGUAAAAGCCCACCAAGGCAACGAUCAGUAGCUGGUCUGAGAGGACGACCAGCCACACUGGAACUGAGACACGGUCCAGACUCCUACGGGAGGCAGCAGUGGGGAAUUUUGGACAAUGGGCGCAAGCCUGAUCCAGCAAUGCCGCGUGAGUGAAGAAGGCCUUCGGGUUGUAAAGCUCUUUUGUCAGGGAAGAAACGGUGGGGGCUAAUAUCCUCCGCUAAUGACGGUACCUGAAGAAUAAGCACCGGCUAACUACGUGCCAGCAGCCGCGGUAAUACGUAGGGUGCAAGCGUUAAUCGGAAUUACUGGGCGUAAAGCGUGCGCAGGCGGUUUUGUAAGUCUGUCGUGAAAUCCCCGGGCUCAACCUGGGAAUUGCGAUGGAGACUGCAAGGCUAGAGUUUGGCAGAGGAGGGUAGAAUUCCACGUGUAGCAGUGAAAUGCGUAGAUAUGUGGAGGAACACCGAUGGCGAAGGCAGCCCCCUGGGUCAAAACUGACGCUCAUGCACGAAAGCGUGGGGAGCAAACAGGAUUAGAUACCCUGGUAGUCCACGCCCUAAACGAUGUCUACUAGUUGUCGGGUCUUAAUUGACUUG